GGCCCUGUCGUCUAGCGGUACAAGGACGCCACCCUUUCAAGGUGGAGGUCGCGGGUUCGAAUCCCGCCAGGGUCACCA
rnacentral:tRNA from 1 species